rnacentral:rRNA from 1 species
AUUGAACGCUGGCGGCAGGCCUAACACAUGCAAGUCGAACGAGUGGCGGACGGGUUAGUAAUGUCUGGGAAACUGCCUGAUGGAGGGGGAUCACUACUGGACACGGUAGCUAAUAACGCAUUCCAUCAAAUGUGCCCAGGUGGGAUUAGCUUGUGGGGGGGGUAACGGCUCACCAAGGCGACGAUCCUUAGCUGGUCUGUGAGGAUGACCAGUCACACUGGAACUGAGACACGGUCCAGACUCCUACGGGAGGCAGCAGUGGGGAAUAUUGGACAAUGGGCGCAAGCCUGAUGCAGCCAUGCCGCGUGUAUGAAGAAGGCCUUCGGGUUGUAAAGCACUUUCAGCGGGGAGGCGUUACCAACAGAAGAAGCACCGGCUAACUCCGUGCCAGCAGCCGCGGUAAUUC